GAUGAGAUGAGAUGAGCUGAUGAUGAGAUGAGAUGAGAUGAGAUGAGUUGCUGAUGAUGAUGAGAUGAGAUGAGAUGAGAUGUGAUGUGAUGAGAUGAUGAUGAGAUGAUGAUGUGAUGUGAUGUGAUGAGAUGAGUUGAUGAUGAGAUGAGAUGAGUUGCUGAUGAUGAUGAUCUAUUCCCUGAAUCCAGUUGUUCUUCAGGUGGCCGCUGACACCACUUAGUAGGUGUUGAAAGCAAAAGGUUUCGUGCAAGUUUUUCUUGCCUUUAUGUUCCCUUACGCUCAUCACCUGAACUCAGCCGGCCUCACAUUAGAGGUUAAGAAGAUCAAAUCAUUGUUUUUGUUCAAUCGCAAAAACCAACAUUCUUACAAGUAUCAAACAGGCAGAUUUUUUUACAUUUAGGCCCCAAAUAUUAAAUAACUAAUUGAACAAGUUUCAUGUUUAAUACCAAUUGUAUUAUUUAACAAUUUAGCCUAUAUAAAUAUUUCAACAUUGACUUCAUCAUUUCAUUUUGAGUAAUUUGGCCCUCCGUGAUAUAUAAAUUGGUUAAAUAUAGUCCUAAAUUGUACGGACAUUUUGAGCUUUUGGUUCUUAACGUUGCGUAGCCCGUGAUUCCUCCUAAAGUCAGUAAAGCUGGACCCAAUGUCGAUGAGAAAGAAAACGUGCAGGUCAUACAGCUCGUGCAGAAACUGGAGGAUUUUUGCCAAGAACAGUGAGCAGCUUCACCGCUCAGGACAAAAUCACGGACUAAUACAACUACACGACGGUUUUCUGACAUGCAAAUAUGCAGAGAUUAACGACGACGCUACACGACAAACACAGCCAGAAAAGUUCAGGUUCAAAGUGUAGAAAACACAAAGGACAAGAAAAAACUGAAGAAAACCUGCUUUCAGUCGAGGUGUCCCGUCCCGACGAUUCCUCGGUCAAGGCUCCGAUGAAAGAAGCUGUUGCUGUAGUAAAUCCUCUCCGAUAGACUCCUAAAUCCUUAUUCCGGCUGUAAGCAGUUUGUAUGCGGGAUUCAUAGUGAGAAAUAUACAACAAACUAUCUCCCAAAGGCAAGAGACGCUGACUUUUGAUAACAUUCUCUGAAACAUCUUUCACUGCGCGUCUGAUGCUGUUGAUCCUGUAUGACGUAGCCAUUAGAGACGCCACGCCGCCAUCUGAUUGGAGGAAAGGUGUUCUAUUAACCAGCUCUUGUCAUUGGCUGUUUUAUAAAAUACUUUGUUUACAUUUUUGUAACCUGA